UCUAAACUGGUGUUUAACUAUUCCUGGUAAAUCGCGGAGAAGAGUGGCCUGAACAAAAAAGUCAGACCGAGACUAGAACAUCCCGCAGCGUAACACGGAAAUCUUGGAACAAAAGAGACGCAGAGUGGAUCGUGUUGUCCGGUUUGGAUAUCAGCGGCAAAGCGAACGUUGUGUGUACUAUUGCAAGAUCUAUAGCGGAUCUCCACGGUUAGGAUACAGACCACAACGCUUUGGACGUAUCUUUAAAAAAGAGAAAAAUCGGAGACUUUUUGGAUUUGUCUGGGACAUUUUAAACAUUUUGUGGCAAAUUGGAUUUAAAACGUUUCGGAUACUGGAUACAUGUGUUGGAUUUGUCCACAGUGCUUGUUUAAGACGUCUUCACCUCAUUUUAGGGUUUAUUUUUAAUUAAAGGCUUCUUAAAACAUGUUUGAAAAUGUGUAUAUUAUACAAAGAGUCUUAUAUUGUCUGCUCUGACAAAAAAAUAAAUUAUUAUUUUAGAUUUUAGGACAAAUGUCUGCGUGUAUCUUAUAAAUACAACUUGAUAAUACGUUUGUUUUGUCAAGAGACUUUUUUAAAGUCACGCAAGAAUAAAAUAUUUUAGUUGUAACUGGUUAUACUUAAAUCUGUUAUUAUCUAUUUAACUAUAAGCUAUAUUUUUCUGAUAAGCCUUAAACAGAAGCUGCUCUGUGAGCGUCUGGGUGUUUGAGAUAAUUCACAUUAGGGGGCUGCUUGUAAACUAGUGUCUUUUAAAACCGCCGUGGUAAUAUGUAAUAUGGUAACUCUGUCAAAAAGUAAAAGGUUUAUUUUAGAUCACACCCUAUUUUAUGGCAAACAAUGCAGUAUCUAAAAGUUUGUAACAACACAAUUUUAUUUAAUGAAAUAUUCAGCAUGGGUAUAGCAAUGAACUGUGCCAAAACCACCGGGGGCCGCCAAAAACACAUUCUAGACUAAAGGCUUUUUAUUUUUAACUAAAUAAAAUCUUAAUCUUUUCAUGCACAAUAUUCUGUUCACACCAUUAGAUUGCGGUCCUGCGCUUACAAUAGAGAACAUAAGCGGAUGCGUGUUCAUAUCCAUACGUUAAGAAAUCGACCAUAUGUCAA